GGCGAGCCGGUGACGGUAAGCAAAACACAGAAAAGUACGUCUCAGUUCGGAUUGCAGGCUGNAACCCGCCUGCAUGAGGCUGGAAUCGCUAGUAAUCGCGGAUCAGAAUGCCGCGGUGAAUACGUUCCCGGGUCUUGUACACACCGCCCGUCACACCAUGGGAGUCGGAAAUGCCCGAAGCCGGUGGCCCAACCGAGAGGAGGGAGCCGUCGAAGGCAGGUUGGAUGACUGGGGUGAAGUCGUAACAAGGUAGC
rnacentral:rRNA from 1 species